GAUGAACGCUGGCGGCGUGCCUAACACAUGCAAGUCGAGCGAACAGACGCGGAGCUUGCUCCUCUGACGUUAGCGGCGCACGGGUGAGUAACACGUGGAUAACCUACCUAUAAGACUGGGAUAACUUCGGGAAACCGGCGCUAAUCCCGGAUAAUAUAUUGAACCGCAUGGUUCAAUAGUGAAAGACGGCUUUUCUGUCUCUUAUAGAUGGAUCCGCGCCGCAUUAGCUAGUUGGUAAGGUCACGGCUUACCAAGGCAACGAUGCGUAGCCGACCGGAGAGGGUGAUAGGCGACCUGGGAGGGGAGACAGGCACCAGACGCCUGCGGGACGGAGCAGUAGGCAAUCGGACGCAAUGGGCGGAAGUCUGACGGAGCGAGGCCGCGUGAGUGAUGAAGGUCUUCGGAGCGGAAAACUCGGUUACGGGGGAAGAACAAAUGUGGAAGGAAAUGUGCCCGGCUUGACGGUACCUAAUCAAAAAGCAACGGCUAACUACGUG
rnacentral:rRNA from 1 species